rnacentral:rRNA from 1 species
GAUGAACGCUGGCGGCGUGCUUAACACAUGCAAGUCGAACGGUGAAGCAGAGCUUGCUCUGUGGAUCAGUGGCGAACGGGUGAGUAACACGUGAGCAAUCUGCCCCUGACUCUGGGAUAAGCGCUGGAAACGGCGUCUAAUACCGGAUACGAGCUGCGAAGGCAUCUUCAGCAGCUGGAAAGAAUUUCGGUCAGGGAUGAGCUCGCGGCCUAUCAGCUUGUUGGUGAGGUAACGGCUCACCAAGGCGUCGACGGGUAGCCGGCCUGAGAGGGUGACCGGCCACACUGGGACUGAGACACGGCCCAGACUCCUACGGGAGGCAGCAGUGGGGAAUAUUGCACAAUGGGCGAAAGCCUGAUGCAGCAACGCCGCGUGAGGGACGACGGCCUUCGGGUUGUAAACCUCUUUUAGCAGGAAAGAAGCGAAAGUGACGGUACCUGCAGAAAAAGCGCCGGCUAACUACGUGCCAGCAGCCGCGGUAAUAC